rnacentral:lncRNA from 1 species
AUAAUUAUCAAAAUUGAAAAAAUUAAAGUUUUUGAGAAAAAUUGAAAUUUCUGUUUUUUACCAUUAACAUAUACUUUAUAAGAUCGUAAAUUUUGCAUAACUUUUUUGUUAUUAAAGAUAGAGGUUUCAUUUAAAAACAGUCAAGUACUCCUAGCGAAGGGGCACCUUGCACAUAAAUAUCAAAAUUUAAAAAAUUAUAGUUUUUGAGAAAAAUCGAAAUUUCUGUUUUUUACCAUUAACAUAUACUUUAUAAGAUCGUAAAUUUUGCAUAACUUUUUUGUUAUUAAAGAUAGAGCUUUCAUUUAAAAACUGCCAAGCACUCCUAGCGAAGGGGCACCUUGCACAUAAUUAUCAAAAUUGAAAAAAUUAUAGUUUUUGAGAAAAAUCGAAAUUUCGAUUUUUUACAAUUAACAUGUACUUUUUUAGAUUGUAAAUUUUGCAUAACUUUUUUGUUAUUAAAGAUAGAGGUUUCGUUUAAAAACAGUCAAGUACUCCUAGCGAAGGGGCACCUUGCACAUAAAUAUCAAAAUUUAAAAAAUUAUAGUUUUUGAGAAAAAUCGAAAUUUCGGUUUCUUUACAAUUAACAUGUACUUUUUUAGAUCGAAAAUUUUGCAUAACUUUUUUGUUAUUAAAGAUAGAGGUUUCAUUUAAAAACAGUCAAGUACUCCUAGCGAAGGGGCACCUUGCACAUAAUUAUCAAAAUUAAAAAAAUUAUAGUUUUUGAGAAAAAUCGAAAUUUCGAUUUUUUACAAUUAACAUGUACUUUUUUAGAUCGAAAAUUUUGCAAACUUUUUUGUUAUUAAAGAUAGAGGUUUCAUUUAAAAACAGUCAAGUACUCCUAGCGAAGGGGCACCUUGCACAUAAAUAUCAAAAUUGAAAAAAUUAAAGUUUUUGAGAAAAAUCGAAAUUUCGAUUUUUUACAAUUCACAUGUACUUUUUUAGAUCGAAAAUUUUGCAAACUUUUUUGUUAUUAAAGAUAGAGGUUUCAUUUAAAAACAGUCAAGUACUCCUAGCGAAGGGGCACCUUGCACAUAAUUAUCAAAAUUUAAAAAAUUAUAGUUUUUGAGAAAAAUCGAAAUUUCGAUUUUUUACAAUUAACAUGUACUUUUUUAGAUCGAAAAUUUUGCAUAACUUUUUUGUUAUUAAAGAUAGAGGUUUCAUUUAAAAACAGUCAAGUACUCCUAGCGAAGGGGCACCUUGCACAUAAUUAUCAAAAUUGAAAAAAUUAUAGUUUUUGAGAAAAAUCGAAAUUUCGAUUUUUUACAAUUAACAUGUACUUUUUUAGAUCGUAAAUUUUGCAAACUUUUUUGUUAUUAAAGAUAGAGGUUUCAUUUAAAAACAGUCAAGUACUCCUAGCGAAGGGGCACCUUGCACAUAAUUAUCAAAAUUGAAAAAAUUAUAGUUUUUGAGAAAAAUCGAAAUUUCGAUUUUUUACAAUUAACAUGUACUUUUUUAGAUCGUAAAUUUUGCAUAACUUUUUUGUUAUUAAAGAUAGAGGUUUCAUUUAAAAACAGUCAAGUACUCCUAGCGAAGGGGCACCUUGCACAUAAUUAUCAAAAUUGAAAAAAUUAUAGUUUUUGAGAAAAAUCGAAAUUUCGAUUUUUUACAAUUAACAUGUACUUUUUUAGAUCGUAAAUUUUGCAUAACUUUUUUGUUAUUAAAGAUAGAGGUUUUAUUUAAAAACUGUCAAGUACUCCUAGCGAAGGGGCACCUUAUACGUAAUAAUAAAAAACUAAAAAAGUUGUAGUUUUUGAAGAAAAUCGAAAUUUUGGUUUUUUACCAUUAACGUGUACUUUAUUAGAUCGAACAUUUUGCAUAACUUUUUUAUUUGUACAAGGUCCCUAGGUACUAUAAUGAGCUAGACAAGGAUAUUAUUAUUAAAUUAAGUAUACUUACCGCAUAUUCUUUUGUAAGGAGAAAGAGGGGAUAAAUAAAAUUUUCCUUUGUGAUAUUUAAUAAGUACCAUUUAUUGUAUCCAAUAGACUGUUAGGAAUAGAACGCUUUGAAUCUUUAUAG